GCAUAUCAAUAAGCGGAGGAAAAGAAACCAACAGGGAUUGCCCCCAGUAACGGCGAGUGAAGCGGCAACAGCUCAAAUUUGAAAUCUGGCCCCCAGGGCCCGAGUUGUAAUUUGUAGAGGAUGCUUUUGGCGCGGUGCCUUCCGAGUUCCCUGGAACGGGACGCCAUAGAGGGUGAGAGCCCCGUCUGGUUGGACACCUAGCCUCUGUAAAGCUCCUUCGACGAGUCGAGUAGUUUGGGAAUGCUGCUCUAAAUGGGAGGUAUAUGUCUUCUAAAGCUAAAUACCGGCCAGAGACCGAUAGCGCACAAGUAGAGUGAUCGAAAGAUGAAAAGCACUUUGAAAAGAGGGUUAAAUAGUACGUGAAAUUGUUGAAAGGGAAGCGUUUGUGACCAGACUUGGGCCCGGUUGAUCAUCCACCGUUCUCGGUGGUGCACUCUGCCGGCCCAGGCCAGCAUCAGUUCGCGCCGGGGGAUAAAGGCUUCGGGAAUGUGGCUCCUCCGGGAGUGUUAUAGCCCGUUGUGUAAUACCCUGGUGCGGACUGAGGUUCGCGCUCCGCAAGGAUGCUGGCGUAAUGGUCAUCAGCGACCCGUCUUGAAACACGGACCAAGGAGUCGUCUUCGUAUGCGAGUGUUCGGGUGUCAAACCCCUACGCGUAAUGAAAGUGAACGCAGGUGAGAGCUUCGGCGCAUCAUCGACCGAUCCUGAUGUUCUCGGAUGGAUUUGAGUAAGAGCAUACGGGGCCGGACCCGAAAGAAGGUGAACUAUGCCUGUAUAGGGUGAAGCCAGAGGAAACUCUGGUGGAGGCUCGCAGCGGUUCUGACGUGCAAAUCGAUCGUCAAAUAUGGGCAUGGGGGGCGAAAGACUAAUCGAACCUUCUAGUAGCUGGUUUCCGCCGAA
rnacentral:rRNA from 2 species